UACAGAGGGUGCAAGCGUUGUUCGGAAUUAUUGGGCGUAAAGGGCGCGUAGGCGGUGCGGUAAGUCUGUAGUGAAAUCUCUGGGCUCAACUCAGAGUCUGCUGCAGAAACUGCCGUGCUUGAGUGUGGGAGAGGUGAGUGGAAUUCCCGGUGUAGCGGUGAAAUGCGUAGGUAUCGGGAGGAACACCUGUGGCGAAAGCGGCUCACUGGACCACAACUGACGCUGAGGCGCGAAAGCUAGGGGAGCAAACAGG
rnacentral:rRNA from 1 species